GAAGGUCACGGCGAGACGAGCCGUUUAUCAUUACGAUAGGUGUCAAGUGGAAGUGCAGUGAUGUAUGCAGCUGAGGCAUCCUAACAGACCGGUAGACUUGAACCUUGUUCCUACAUGACCCGAUCAAUUCGAUCAGGCACUCGCCAUCUAUUUUCAUUGUUCAACUCUUUGACAACAUGAAAAACCAAAAGUUCUGCCCUCCCUCUCUAUCGGAUGGAAGGGCAG
rnacentral:rRNA from 11 species